rnacentral:lncRNA from 1 species
AGAGAAAAACAAAAUAUAUAAUUUAAAAUAAUACAAAAUAACCAUUAUUCUCUGAGGUGGAAACAGUGCAUUAUUAUUAGGCUUGAAAAUUUUUUAUUUUCAAGAUAUGAACUUGAAUUAAAUGAAAAUAAUUAAAUCAGACAACUAACCCGGUGCAACGUAAUAUUAUUAUUGCCCAAAAACUUAAGCUUCAAGAGAAAGAAUAUAUUUUAUACUGAGUCCGGCUACUAUACUCUUAUAAGUGUGAUCGCUUUCGUACUCAUAAAUUAUUUUCGAUGAUAGAGCUUCUGAAUCGACGAUCCAUACAGUUAAAUAUUAUUUAGAGCAUUUAAAACUUCUAGAAAUCAAAUUUUAUAAUUUUUCGAUAUUAUUUACCUUACGAUCAAAAGCUCACAAAAUUUACAAUUUUUAACGGCCGAUAUGAGAUAUUUGCUAGUUGAAUGGUGAAAAGAAUAGAAAUAGGUUGAAUUUUUGAUAGAAAAUUAUAUUCACUACCUAAAUAAAUAUCAAUAACUUUGAUCUUAAAUUGAAGAAUUCGAUCAUCCAUUUUUAGGAUGUCGUUCGAUUUUAACCGUUCAUUUUAUACCCGCUUGAUGGACUUUAUAACGAUUUCAAAAAAUUACGAAAUUUAUUUUCUAGAAGUUUCAAAUACUCUAGAUCAAAUUUAACGGUGUAGAUCGUAAAUUUGAAAACCCCAACAUCGAAAACCACUUAUGAAUACGAAGUGCUCUAUACUCAUAAGAGUAUAGUAACCCCACUCUAUAUCUAUAUAUAUAUAGAGAGAGAAUUGAGCUCCUAUACUUUUAAAAGUACCAAGUUAUUGGUGCUUGUAAGUUUUUGGCCCUUAGAUUAAGGAAUAUGCGGUUAGGAUGAUGUGGGCCCCCUAGGGUUGAGUAAGUGGUUGGUUUAAUCUACGUCUUUGAUCUUUGAAUUUUUUACCGUUAAAUCUACGUCUUUGAUCAUUUUCACCCGUUAGAUUAUACUAUUCAACCAACCACCCACUCAACCCAAGGGUUAAAAAUUUACAAGCACCAAUGACUCGGUACUUUUAAAAGCAUAGAAGCUCAAUUAUAUAUAUAUAUAUAUAUAUAAACAACCACUUUUCAUGGCACCAAAUAAC